rnacentral:rRNA from 1 species
AAAAGCUUUCUUUAAUUGAAUAAUUGAAUUUAAUUUUUUAGUGCAAAAGCAAAAAUAAAAAUUAGGGACAAGAAGACCCUAUGAAUUUUUUUAUUAAAUUUUAUAAAACUUUAUAUAAAAUUUAAUUUAAUUGGGGUGAUGGAAAAAGAAUAAAUAUCUUUUUUUUAAAAGAAAAUUGGUUCCGUUCUUAGCGAUUAAAUGAAAAAAAUACUCUAGGGAUAACAGCGUAAUAAUUUUGGAUAGUUCAUAUAGAUAAAAUAGUUUGCGACCUCGAUGUUGGAUUAGGAUUCUUUUUUGGUGAAGAAGUUAAAAAAAGAAGUUUGUUCAACUUAUAAUUUCCUACUUGAUCUGAGUUCAGACCGG